UGAUCCAGCCACCUUGGCCUCCCAAAGUGCUAGGAUUACAGGCAUGAGCCACCAUGCCCGGCUGAGCAUUUUGAUAAUCAAUACCUAUUUUACAAAUCUUCCGAGGUUGAGUAUAAUUAAGUAAUUUGCCCAAGUUCAUCUAGACAGAAAGUAAUGGAAUCAUAAUUCUAUCUCCAGAGUUUGCAUGUUUAAUCCCUGUCUUGUGUGGCCUCAUAAGAGGAUGUGAGGAAGACUGUUCUAGCAUCAGAGGGUGGUCAAAGUAUGUCUUGUAGCCUUGAAGCCCUUACUAUUUCCCCCCAGAUCUCUGUCCUGUUCUUUUGUCCUUACUUUUCUUGUUUUUACUGCAUGAUCUUUUCUGUUUCUUCCCUCACUGGUCUUUACCUUUGACUUUCUCCCUUUCUUUCUUAACCUCUUUUCUCCACUAUCAGACCUCCUGGCCAGAAUCCCCUUUCAAUUCCCUCCCACUGUUGACCUUCGAGGAUACUAAACAGGAAUUUUUUCUUUGUGUACCAGAGCUUCUUAAGCCCUUCCUGCCCCAAAUUCAGAGGUGAGCCGGAGCAGGGGAAAGGUGGGAUGUGAGGGGAAAGGCAAUAUAUCACUUAGAAAGUAAUAAGUCAAACUCAAAAUGCUUUAAACAUAGGGGGGUUAUUAUUUCACUGAAGUGGGGUGGGCCCAAGGUUGGAUAAUCCAUGGCUUAUUCACUUAAGGACCAAGAUUCUUCCUCUUUUUGUAUUCCACCAUCUUUGGGUUACUCCCCUCAUAGUCUAAACGUGGCUGCCAUUGCCCAGUUAUUAUCUUCUCAUACAGCCUCAUCUGGAGGGAGUAAAGGACUGCAUCUUCUUGAUAACUUUUUUCUUCCUUCCUUUUUUUUUUUUUUAAUGAGACAGGGUUUCACUGUGUCACCCAAGUUGGAGUUCAGUGGAGUAAUCUUGGCUAACUGCAGCCUCGACCUCCCAGACUCACGUGAUCCUCCUGUCUCAAUCUCCUGAGUAGCUGGGACUACAGGCAUGCACCAUCACAGAUGGCUAAUUUUUGUAUUUUUUAUAGAGACAGAGUUUUGCCAUGUUGUCCAGGCUGCUCUUGUACUUCUGGGCUCAAGUGAUCUGUCCACCCCCCUCAGCCUCCCAAAGUACUAGGAUUACAGGCAUGAGCCACUGUGCCUGGCUAAUACUUUUCUUUCAAGAGCAGGAAAUCUUCCCCAGAAGUCCCCUCAGUAGACACCCCCUCACUUCUCAUUGGCUGGAGUUGAAUCCCAAGCCCACCCUCAAACCAAUCCCUGGCAAGGGGAAUGGGCUUAUCAGACAAGCAACCCAGUUACUAUAGCUGUGUAACAAAUUAUCCUCAAACUUAGAAGCAUAAACAUUUUUUAUGCUAAUGGAUUCUGAGUCAAGAAUUCGGGUGGCAGAAGCAGCCUGUCUCUGCUUUAAGGUGUCUGGAGCCUCAGUCAGAAGUCUUAAAGGCUGGGGCUAGAAUCAUCCGAAGGCUCACUCACUCCAUAUCUGGUGGUAGAGACCGGCUGUUGGCUGGAGGCCUGUUUUUCUUCAUGGGCCUCUCCAUGUGUUCUACCCAUGUGGGCAGGCUUGGGCUUCCUCCCAACAUGGUGGCUGGGUUCCAGGGAUGAAGGGGGUGGGGGAGAGACAGAGACAAGCAAAAGCUACAUCGCCUUUUCUGACCUGACCUCAGGAGUCAUUCAGGCUCACUUCCACUGCAUUCUAGUCGCCGAAGCAGCCACAGAAUCCACCCAGGCUCAAAUGACAGGGAAAUCAAUCACCUCUGCCACUUAACAGAGUGUGGCAAGGCCCCGGAAGAGCAUGUGAGGCCAGAGAGAUCAUUAUAGCCAUUUGGAGAAAAUAGCUUCUGCCACACCUGGGUUGGAGCCUACCUUUCCUGAAACUCACCCUCCCUCGGGGCUGUGGGGGAGAGAAGCGGGGUGCUGUUGGUUAGGUGGGAGAAGGGCGAGCAAUUGGUGAGUAGGGAACUGCAUCUGCUACAAAAGGGACAGGACCUGUGUGCUGGCUCCAGCCACAUGAGCCUCCGUGCAUUCCUCCCACAUACCACGUUCUUCUGCCUCGGGGCCUUGGCACAUGCCGUUCACUCUUCCUGGAACAUGCUUCCAUUCUUGGCCCAUCUGAUUCUUCCCCAUCUUUCCAAGUGCAGCUUCAAGGGCGUUUCCUCCGACAGUCUUGCUGAUCUCCAGCCUGAAUCAGGUUCCCUUUCUAGAAUCGCCCAGAGCAGACCCUGCUGUUCGCUCCUGGCCUUCUCACGGCGAUUAAGAACUCAUCACAGGCAUGCAGGGUCCUGGUUAUAGGUGUGGCCUCUGAACCAGGCACCUCGUAUUCAAAUCCAGGCCCUGCUCCUCACUGGCUGAGCAACCUCGGGCAAGUCUCUUGACCUCUGUCAGCCUUGGUUCCCUGAUUGAGGAUCCUAACAAUCAACCUACAGGAUCAGGUUCUUAUGAAGAUUAAAUGCGAUACUAGAGGCAAAGCUCUCAGGUGAGUGCCUGGCACAUGGCAGGUGCCUGGUCUGCCCCUAUUCUCGAAUCUGUUCCGUGUCUCUCUCCCCUGGCAAACUGCAGGAGUGUCUGCUAUGCUCACCCCCAGCCCAUUCUUCUUAAUCCCCAGCAUGGCCAUGUGGCCCAUGUGGUGUCGGCAGUAAAUCAAUAUUUGUUGAAUGAAUUAAUAAAUGAAUAAAUGAGUAAGUCUUCUUCCAACAGAAAUGACCUCAGACUUGAUUUCAACUAGAAGCCCAGAUGAACACACCUGCUCAGAUCGUGCAUUUGCCCCAGCGUGUGGACUCCUUAUUAAGGGCCUUAAGAUUCCAUGGGAAUCCGCAGAGCACAGAUGUGUGUAUGUGGGGUGCGGGGGGUGAGGUGUGGGUUGGGGGAUGCUGGGCGGGAGCAGCGGUUGCCCAGCCUUUGCCAGGGAAGGGCCGGUUGUGUGGGUGGAGCCCAUCUGCAAGGCAAUCACACUUCAAAAGCAGAGGCUGAAGGCAAGUGGAGACUCGCUCCUGCUUGCUCCUGAGCCUCCAGGGCUUCCCAGCUUCCACCUCUGAUCUCGGAAGUCUUACCUGUUCAAGUGGGGGAGGGCAAGGGGCAGCUGGAGCUCCCAAGGUUCUCCGCACCCCACCCUCACUUCAGACCAACACACAAUAAGUUAUUGUACCAGGACACUUACCAGCAAUAAAAUGAGUAAAGAAAGUUUUUUUUUCAGCAAACAAGUUAUUUCAUAGAGGGAGCUCUGGGAAGGGGCAGAGAAGCCUCUGAAGGGAACAAACAAGUGGGGUCAGGUUGGACUCCGCCAGGCUCCCACCUCCUCUCCUCGCUGUGCACAAACCACCCUGUGCCCAGGGAUGAAAGCUCCCCAGGAAACCCGGAAACAGCACCCGGGAGGCAGGCUGGCCCUGGGACAGGCCCCCAGCCAUGGGUGGGGAUGGCUUGGCUGGGUCCUUCCUUGAUUUAACUAUUUUAAUCCAGCAGCUCCUAGAGGCACACACGAGGAUAGACAUUACCUCUGCAGGAAGGGCUGGAAAAAACUUAGAGGGUUCACUCCCACAGCCCGUGGAAAGCUCAGCAGGCCGGUCAGGUGUGAACUAGGGAAGAGGAAGCACUCCCCUGCCAGGAAAGCCAGAGAGCCCAGCCUCACCUCGGCCCCAGCCGCCUCCCUCCCACCUGAGACACUCACUCCAUCUUAGAACCAUCUUUCCUGCUCACGCCUCUCCCCAGUCACUGCUUUGAGCAAUAAGAUGUUAAUCCCUUUCCAAGAGGUACAGGAAAUUAAAAGCAGAAGCACUGAAGACCUUGUGAGGAACAAAUUAAUCCCACCACACCCACCCCUUUAACCUGUUCUCCACCUCCCCAGGAGCGCUCCCCCAAAUUCCCGCUGUCUUUGUGAGCCAUGGUGUGUGCGUGGGGAGCUCCGCUGCCACGGUCUUAUUUUGCAGAUGAGUAAGUCGGGGCUCAGUGAGGUUUGGAAGUGAUUUGGUUAAAGGUGCAGGGACGUUUUGUCACCAGAAAUUCACAUCCCGUGGAGAAGGUAAGAGGGAGGAGAUGACAGUCGGGCAAGUAUUAUUCCAGAGACAUUCUAUGAGUUUGCGAGGUCACUUGGCAAAUGAGUAGGAGGAAGGGACAGGGAUGGAGGAGAAACAGGGCUCCUGAGUUCAAGUUGAGACAAAGGGGUUUCAGAAUUUCUGCCUCGGAGGGGCUCAAGGCUAAGCCCAGAUGUAAGGGGAGCCUAGGCAUGUCUGAAGCCUCCACUCACAGAGGAAGCAUGGUUUUUACUUAGAGAGUAUGUUAGUUCAUUCAUUUGUAUGUUCAUCUCCCCUUGGCACCGCCCCUGAGGUGAGCAAUUCAGGAAACUGAGGCCCAUUUGCAUGCAGCCAGGGUGAGAGGUGCCUAUGUCUGUCUGCCCUGGCAGAAAGAAGAACCCCGGGGGAUGCAGGAGGUCACGGGUGACAGUGUGUGCCCGGUGGCUGUCCUUAUGGCUUUUUUCUUCACUGUUAAUCCUCUAAUGAGCAAGGUGAAAAGAAACCCGCGCCUGCUCAGCCACCCUGCAGGGAGUUGGCUCACGGGCCUGGGCCUUGGGCUCCACAAAAUACUCAGGGAAAAAGAGGCUGAAACUCCUCCUCCUCGUGGAGUUGGGGUUUAUAAUUACGUUCUCCAGGGCUGAGCCAGCAAGUCGUGUCAAAAACGCAGUGGCUGGCCGUGUCCCUGCCUUGAUCAGCUGUCCUGGUGGGCCUGGGGCUCCCUGAAUAAACUGCUUUAUGCCGCCUGUGCCCUGCAAGUGGGCGGCUGUCCGGCGGGGCGUGACUGCCUCUCCUCACUGUCUCCUAAUAUCCAGUCUUACCCCCAAUCCCCCUGCCUCUGCAGCCCCUCCCCCUCUUGGUCUACACAGCAGGAUUUGCUUCUCCAUCUGUCAGGGUUAUUGGAAGCUUCUUCAGCACGAAAGUACUCAGUGCCUUCUGUGGGCCAACACGCUGCUGGGCUCCGGGGAGACACCAUGGGGAACAGACAGACCUGCUCUCACGGACCUUACAGUCUAGUGGGGAAGGAAAAGGCUAGAGGAAUAAAUAUCAAGUUGUAAGUUGUGACGAGCUCAGCCAAGGAGGUAAAGAGGAUGCUAUGAGAGGCCAGUCACAGUGGCUCACCCCUGCAAUCCCAGCACUAUGGGAGGCCGAAACAGGAGAAUCACUUGAGCCCAGGAGUUUGAGACCAGUCUGGGCAACAUGGCAACAUCCCAUUGCUACAAAAAAUGUGAAAAUUAGCAGAGUGUGAUGGUGUGCACCUGCAGUCCCAGUGACUCGGGAGGCCGAGGUGGGAGGAUCACUUGAGCCUGGGGAGGUUGAGGCUGCAGCGAAGUAUGGUGGUGCCCCUCCACUCCAGCCUGGGCUACAGAGCAACGCCAGUCUCAAAAAAAAAAAAAAAAAAAGGAGGGUACUAUGAGGCCACAGGGACCAAGCUACACUCGCCAGGUGGCCCGGGCAGGCCUCUCUGAGGAAGGAGGGCCAGAUAAGGGGCCAUGCUGGGGGGAGAAGGAGGUAGCCAGGGACAAGGUCCAACCUGAGGCAGGAGGCAGGGUGCUGAGCUGAGCCCCCGCUGUCCCCAGGGCUCUCUGUGAACUCACUCACUCACUCUCCCGAGGAACGGGUGAGCCAGCAUCAUCCGUGCCCUGCAAGUAAGACGGCUGCAGAGAGGCCCAGCAUUUUGCCUAAGGCUGCUGAGCUUAUAAGUGGCAGAGGCAGGAUUUGAACACAGGCCACUCACCUGGCCCCAGAGCCAGUGUGUAUAAUAGGCCACCUCACCCUGGGGGAGGCUGCCGGCAUGUGGCGCCACUGCUGCAAAGGCCCUGUGCCUCUGAGGCGCUGGCUACCUGCUUGCCUCUCCCAGAGCAAGCCAGGCAAGGCUUCACCAUGGAUCAGAAGGCACCCAUCUCCCUGCCCAGGGGUGUCGAGCCCCUUGGCACCACAGAAAGGAAGGAAGUGAGGGGAUUGAGUCACUAUACCUGGGGAAACUGAGGCUGAGAAGAGACUCCAGGUCCUUGGAGAUUGGAGGGAUGUGGGUCCUGAUCCAUCGGUCUGUGCCCAGCUGCCUCACCACCGCCUCUCUCCUGAUUUGGGCUCCCCAGGCCCCAGCAUGGAGCCUGCAGCCUGGUGCCCAGUAGAGGCUUUUUGAUUAAUUCACUGACCAUCAAUUUACAAGGUUUUCCUCAGCUUGGACCAUGAAAUCUGCAUAUCCACACCUGGUCCCUACCAGGGUUUUCAGUGUGUGUCGAGGUCAGAGUGUGUGUGAGUGUGUCUGUGUGUGUGAGGGGGAGGAAGUGUGUGUCUGUGAGUGUGUCUGUGGGGGGGAGUGAGUGUGUCUGUGUGUGGGGGAGGGAGUAUCUGUGAGUGUCUGUGUGUGUGUAGGGAUCGGAGUGUGUGAGUGUGUCUGUGUGUGAGUGUGUCGGGGUUGGAGUGUGUGUCUGUGAAUGUGUCUGUGUGUGAGUGUGUGCGGGAGGCAGUGUGUCUGUGAGUGUGUCUGUGUGUGAGUGUGGGGGGAGGGAGUGUGUGUGUGAGUGUGUGGGGGGAGGGAGUGUGUGCCUGUGAGUGUGUGAGGGGAGUGUGUGUGCAUGUGCAUAGGAAUGAGAGUGUGUCUGUGUCUGUGUGUGUGUGUGACUGUGUCUGUGUGUGAGUGCAUGAGCAUGUGUGUGAGAGUGUGUGUGCACGAGUCCCACCAACCUUGGGGAACACUGGCCCAGAAGAAGCAAGUGUAUGUGUGUGAGAAAGCAUGUGUGUGCGUGUGUGUGUGAGUUCGCAUUUUCUGGGUGUGUGUGUGUGUAGAGGGAGAGUGUUGUGUGAGACUGUGUUUGUGUAUAAAAGUGUAUGAGAGUGUGUGCUUGCAUGUGAGAGUGUGUCUGGGUGUGCAUCAAUAACCAUAAGGGUGUGUGUAUGUGUGUAAGCGUCUGUGUGUGAGUAUGUGGAUGUGUGCUGAGUGCAUUGGCAGUGCGAGAAUGCGGGGAAAUGUUUGUGUGAGGAUUGUGCCUGCUUGUGUUGCACGGACCUGUUUUCCAGCAGCUACCAGACAGGUCGGGAGUGUGAAUGGGCCGAUUGUUAACCUCAGAGGCAGGGAAGGAAAGCAGCCUUUUGUCCUGCGGGGAGCUGAGAGCUAGGAAUGCGAGAUGCUAAAGGCAGCAGCUUGACGGUGGGGGCUCCCCUGUUCACGCAGACGCCUUGCCUGGGACUGCACACAUUCCCAAGCUUGCCUGUUGCCUUGGAAUUGACCCCACAGAAGGUGAAAUGCUUUCUAAACCAUGACUGAUCAAAUUGCUGUGUUUUACCUGCGUCACCAUUUCCUAAAUGUAGAAAAGCAGGCUUUUCUGGAAGAGGGAACGUGAGCCUUGCUGUGGGAUAGACAUCUGUUACGAUUUUGAUGAGCCGGGUUUACAUAAGCCAAGUCAUACAGUCGGCCCAAGAAAAAGGACGGGAAACACACGGGGCUCAUGAGUUGACAGAGCUGUGAGUCAACAGGUCUCCACUGAGCACCCCCCGGAUGGCGUGUGGAGGGAGAAGAAGGCUGAACUGGUUAUGAUUGGUUUAUAAAAAUCAACAAAUCAACACCUGGGACGAUGAGUGUGGAGAAAUUGAUGUAAUUUCUUUGGCAUCGGUGGCUUUCUCAUCUGUAACAUGGGAAUGUUGGUAACUUUUCAUGGGACUCUUUAGAGUCUUUUUUUUUCUUUUCUUUUUGAGAAGGAGUCUUGCUCUGUCACACAGGCUGGAGUGCAGUGGCGCGAUCUCGGCUCACUGCAACCUCCACCUCCCGGGUUCAAGUGAUUCUCGAGUGUCUCAGCCUCCUAAGUAGCUGAGAUUACAGGCGUGCACCACCAGGCCCAGCUAAUUUUUGUAUUUUUUGUAGAGAUGGGAUUUCGCCAUGUUAGCCAGGCUGGUCUCCAACUCCUGAGCUCAAGUGAUCCGCCCACCUCGGCCUCCCAAAGUGCUGGGAUUACAGGCGUGAGCCACCAUGCCCGGCCAACCACUGGAGUCUUAGACCUGUAUGCAUUCGCCCAUCCAUAAAAACAGAGGCUUGUGCUUAUCACUUGGAACAUGGCCUGGCCAGCAAUAAUGACUGCUUCCCGGAUUUUUUUUAUUGAAGUACCAGGAACACGGCCAAGGAGAAAUGAAAUUCGAGUGCCCGGGAGAUCGCCACAGCUCUGGACGGGGCUUAGGCCCACAAAGUCCUGGCCACCACGUGAGAAGAAAGUUUUUGAGAAGCAGCCAUGCGAAUCAACCCAAAAAUUCCAAGUAAGAGCUGGGAAUGAGGUACUCUAUCAGGACACCCACUAGCCGACUUUCUCUUCAUUUAAUCCUGGUGGCUACACGUAACAUUUCCAUGUUCCUAGACCAAAAGGUCGGCCCUAAGCAUUUGGCAUUGUUAAAAUUCCACCAUACGUCAGGCACGGUGGCUCACACCUGUGAUCUCAGCACCUUGGGAGGCUGAGGCAGGAAGAUCGCUUGAGCCCAGGAGUUUGAGACCAGCUUUGCCAACAUGGAGAAACCCCAACUCUAUCAAAAAUACAAAAAGUAGCCAGGUGUGAUGGCAUGUGCCUGUAGUCCCAACUACUUGGGAGGCUGAGGUGGGAGGACUGCUGGAGCCUGGAAGGUUGAGGCUGCAGUGAGCCAUGAUUGUGGCACUGCACUCCAGCUUGGGUGACAGAGUAAGAACCCAUCUUAAAAAAAAAAAAAAUAUCCGGCCGGGUGCAGUGGCUCAUGCCUGUGGUCCCAGCACUUUGGGAGGCUGAGGUGGGUGGAUCACGAGGUCAGGAGUUUGAGACCAUCCUAGCUAACACGGUGAAACCCCAUCUCUACUACAAAUACAAAAAAAAAAUUAGAGAGGCGUGGUAGCGGGUGCCUGUAGUCCCAGCUACUCAGGAGGCUGAGGCAGGAGAAUGGCGUGAACCCAGGAGGUGGAGCUUGCAGUGAGCUGGGAUAGCGUCACUGCACUCAGCCUGGGCAAUACAGUGAGACUCCAUUAAAAAAAAAAAAUCUACCAUAGGCAACUGACCAGAAAAUCUGUAGGGAAAGCAAAUAUUUCCUUUUCCUGUAUUAGAUGUGGCUGGAAGAAUUUGUCUUCUUUCUUUUCUUUCUGAUUUGAUUUUUUUUUUUAUGUUGAAUGAAUUCAGGACUCAUGCUGCCUGGGAAACAGUGUUGGCCCACUCCCGGGAUAGAGUCCCCUGGGUGUGCCUAAGCUACGUGUUUCACCCAUGGCCAGAAAAGGCAGCCUUGGCCAGGUGUGGUGGCUCAUGCCUGUAAUCCCAGCACUUUGGGUGGCCAGUGUCUGUAAUCCCAGCUACUCAGGAGGCUGAGGCACAAGAAUUGCUUAAACCCAGGAGACAGAGGUUGCAGUGAGUCGGGAUUGAACCACUGCACUGCAGCCUGGGCAACAGAGCAAGACUCCAUCAGAAAAAGAAAAAGAAGAAGAAGGAGGAGGAGGAGGAAGAGGAGGAAGAAGAAAGGGAGAGGGAGAGGGAGAGGGAGAGGGAGCAGGAGCCCUGUGCUCCAAGCAGCUGCAGCCAACUGGGCAGGAUGAGCACCGGACCAAAAGGGAGCCAACCCACUGACAGGGCUCAUCCAAUCAGGUUCCUUCCUCCAGCAAUUGAACAGAUCAGGUUAAUGAUGGAAGAAGAAGGGGAAGGGGCAGAGAGAGAGGAGAGAGCCCGCAGGGUCCCAGAGAAAAAGAAAUAACAACUGCCCAGUUUCUGUAAGAACUGGGCCCAUCCUUCCUGCCUUGAGUUCCAUGAGAUUUUGCCAGCUUCUUUCAGCAGACCCUCUUCUUACUUGAACUACCUAUCUGGGUUCUGCUCCUUACAAUUCAGAGACUUCACUGGAACAGGGAGGAAUAUAAAUGACCCAAGUUGGGGCCUAUGUGAGAGGCAGGGUUUCCCGAGGGAAGAGGCUCUGAAGGGAAGUCAGCCCAUUUAAGGGAACCACAAACAACAAACAUGCAAAAGACGGCCAACUUCACGAGAAGUUGGAGCAAGGCAAAGUAAAACAGAGAGGCAGCAUUUCUGGUGACAGCAAGUACAGGUGUGAGUGUGGAGGAAAUGGGAGCCCCCUUGCUGCUGGGAGGUGCAUAAAUUUGAGAAUAUCUUUUAAAAUUCAAGACACAUAUGCUCUAUGAUCCAGUUCUUCUCCUUCUCCGUAUCUACCCUGGAGACAAACUUGCAGAAACACUCAAAGAGGCAAGUACAAGGAUGUUCAUGGCAAAAACACAGAUAAUCUAAAUGUUCUUCAGUAGCAGAAAGACUACAAAGUGGAUUUUUCUAUAUCUGGAAAUAUGGUGGAAGGAGGAGGAGGAGAUGGUGGUGAUUAUUAUUAUAAAAGAAGAAUCAACAUUUAUUGUGCGAGGUGUUGUUUUCAGAACUUUACAUGUCUCAGUUACUCUAAUUAAUCUAUAUAAAAACCCUAGUAAGAAAACACUAUUAUUACUUCCACUCUAUGGAUAAGAAACUGUGGCUUAAAAUAUAAAUUGCAUAUUUAGCUGAUGAUUCUGAGGGUCAGCAUUUUGGGCCAGGCUCAACUGGGCAGUUCUUUUGCUGAUCUUGGGUGGGCUCCUCCAAGUGUCUGCAGUCAUCUGCCAUUUACCUAGGUGGCUCUGCUUCUGGGGCUUGCUGGCUAUUGGCUAGGAAGCAGGAAUCACUGGGCCAUCUAUCUCUCAUUACCCAGCAGGCUAGUCUUGGCUUCUUCACGCUGGGGCCAUAGCAGGGAUCCUGAGAACACAGAAGGAAGCUUCAUGCAUACACUCUUCAAGCCUCUACUUAAGUCAUGGCUGUUAUUGUCCCAUUGGCCAAAGCAAGUCAUGUGUUCCAGCCAGAUACAUGGGGUGGAUACCUCUUGAAAGUUCCUGCAAAGUCAUUGCAAAGGGCACACAAACAGGGAUGGGAAGAAUCUGUGGCUGUUUUUGCAAUCACCUCACUUGUGCAAUCAAAAAUCAAUUCUUCCCAAAAAACUAAGCAAAUUGUAAAUAGACGAUCGAGAACUUUUCAGGGUCAGGCUUUGGCUUCACCCUAACAGGUGAGGGAUCUCUGGGCCAUCUCCAGCCAUGCCUCCACUCACUGUGCUCAUGCUGUCCCUUGCUUUAAAAUCCAGUUAAACCUUCAGCAGGAGCUGACACUGUCCACAACUUCUUCCUUCUGUGGCUUCUCCUAGUUUCUCUGCCACUUCUCCAGCCACUCCUUUUCUGUCUCCUUCACAAACUUAUUCCUUCUAUCCAGGAGAUACACACAUUUGUUUCUCCUACCUAAAUCUCAAAUCUGAACCCUAUACUUGUACGUCCAACUACUUGAUUGCCUUUUCCCAUCUCUAUUUGGCUGGCUCAAGGGACUUUAUCAGCUACUGGUGCAUAAUAAACCAUCCCUAAAAUCCAGCUAGUUUGCUCAUGAUUCUGAAGUUAGUAACUCAGGCUGGAAUUAGCUGGAUAGUUAUUUUGAUCUUGGCUGAUCUCAUUCAAGGUCAGCUAGAGCCAGGUAGCCUAGGAUGGGCUCAGCUGGGAUGGCUCAUCUUGCUCCAUGUGGUCUCUCAUCAUUCAACAGGUCAGCAUGAGCCUGUCCACUUGGAGAUCCUGGAGGGCUCUAAAAGAGUUAGUGGAAGCUUGUAAGGACUCCUGAGACAGGCUUAUAGCUGGCAGGGUGUCCCGUCUUCCACAUCCUGCAGGCCAAACAUGUCACAAGGCCAGCCCAGGGAUGUGAAAAUUGACUCCUCCAUUCAAUGGAGGAACUGCAAAGUCACAUUGCAAAGGGGUGUGAACACUGGGAGAGAAUAAGUGGGACCAUUUGUGAAAGCCAUCAACCACAGACACCUCAAACUCAACAGAUUCAAAACUGAACUCAAGAUCUUCCCCCAAAAUCUGCACCUCUCCCAAAAGUCCACAUCCCAAAUAGUUUCACAGCAAAGAAAGAAAUGCAGAAGUUAUCCUUGACCCCUCUCUCUUCCUCACACUCCAGAUCAAAUCCAUCAUCUCCAAAAUACCCCUUACAUGUGUUUUUCUUUCUCCAUCUGGCCCUUCAGUCCCUAAACAAAGACACAGACACCAGCAUUUCAUCUGAUAGCUUCAGCAACCUCUUAAUAGAUCGCCCUCACCCAUGUUGCCCCCUCCUGUAAAUUCUAUACUUUGUGGCCCUUGAGAUUGUUAUAAAGAACAAAUCAAAUUCCGGUACUUUCCUUCAUAAAGUCCUUUAGCAGCUCCAGUCCCCUUAGCAUGGCUUCAUGCCUGUGAGAUUUGCCUCAGCCCAUGCCAGGACCCCGGGCUCCUUACAAUCCAUCCAUGUGAGUCUGCUUUCAAUUUCUCAGACUCAUGUAGUGAAUUGAAUAAUGUCCCCAAAAACAUAUGUCCAAGUCCUAACCCCCCAUACUUGUGAAUGAAACAAUACUUGGAAAAAGGGUCUUGGCAGGAGUAAUUCAGUUAAAGACCUUGAUACAAGAUCAUCCUGGAUUUAGGAUGGGCCCUAAAUCCAAUGACUUGUGUCUUUUUUUUUUUUUUUUUUUUUUUUUUUUUUUUUUUUUUUGAGACAGAAUUUCGCUCUCUCACCCAAGCUGGAGUACAGUGGCACAAUCUCGGCUCACUGUAACCUCCGCCUUCCACUUUCAAGCGAUUCUCCUGCCUCGGUCUCCUGAGUAGCUGGGAUUACAGGUGCCCGCCACCAGGCCUGGCUAAUUUUUAUAUUUCUAGUAGAAACAGGGUUUCACCAUGUUGGCCAGGCUGGUCUCGAACUCCUGACCUCAUCUGCCCACCUCGGCCUCCCAAAGUAUUGGGAUUACAGGCGUGAGCCACCGCGUCUGGCCGACUUGUGUCUUUUUGAAAGAAAGAAAAAGGAGGUUUGAGGCACCGGGACACAGGGGAGAAGGCCGUGUGAAAAAGGAAGAGACUGGAGUAAGGCGUCUUCAAACCAUGGAACGCCAAGGGUUGCUGACAACCAUCAGAAGCUGGAAGAGGCAAGGAAGGAUCUUUCCCCUAGAGCCUCCAGGAGGAACAUGGCUUUGCUGACACCUGGAUUUCAGACUUCUGGCCUCCAGCACUGUGAGAGAAUCAAUAUCUGUUGUUUUAAGCCACUAAGUUCAUGGAAAUUUGUUGUAACAGCUCAGGAAACCACUGUGGCAUGUUAAGCCUCAUCCCAGGGCCUUUGCCCUGGCUCUUCCCGUGGCCUGAAACGCACCUUCUGGGCCUGCUCACCUGUCUGGCCCCUAUUUUCCUUCCUGCAUGAGCUCAUUUCAUUGCAGCUUCAGGGAAGCCUCUUCUAACUUCCCUAAGGAGAAUCCCUUUCAUAGACUCUCUGGCACCAUUUCUUCUCUUCUUUCCCCCAGCUUUAUUAAGGCAUAAUGGACAAAUACAAAAUUAUAUCUAUUUCAUUUCUUCUCUUUCACAAGGCUUAUGAGAGUUGCAAUUUUUCAUUUAUCUAUAUCUGUGAUUAAUGCCUUUGUCUGUCUCCCAAGCUGAACUGCAGUUCCUAAGGGGGCAAGGAUGGCAGCAACCUCCUGUUCACCUCUGAAUUUCCACCACCAGCCCACAAUGGAUACCCAAUAAAUAUGCAGAAAGCCAAUGCUUGAUGUCACUCACAUUUUCCAUUUUAAGUGAAAAUUACAAAUCACAUGUGAAAUAACUG
rnacentral:lncRNA from 10 species